AGGCUUACUCUUAAGCUUAGGCUUGCAUUUAGGCUUAGGCUUAGGCUUAGGCUUAGGCUUAAGCUUGGGCUUAGGUUUAGGAUUAGGCUUAGGCUUAUGCUAAUGUUAGGCUUAUGCUUAGGUUUGUGCUUAGGCUUAUUAUUAAGCUCGGGCUCAUGCGUGGGCUUGAGCUUAGCCUUAGGCUUGUGCUUAGUCUUAUGCUUAGGCUUAGGAUUAGGC
ensembl:ncRNA Y50D4B.8 ncRNA